rnacentral:rRNA from 1 species
UACGUAGGGGGCUAGCGUUGUCCGGAAUCAUUGGGCGUAAAGCGCGUGUAGGCGGUCCGGUAAGUCCGCUGUGAAAGUCGAGGGCUCAACCCUCGAAUGCCGGUGGAUACUGUCGGGCUAGAGUACGGAAGAGGCGAGUGGAAUUCCUGGUGUAGCGGUGAAAUGCGCAGAUAUCAGGAGGAACACCGGUGGCGAAGGCGGGUCUCUGGGCAGUAACUGACGCUGAGGAGCGAAAGCGUGGGUAGCGAACAGG